UUUCAAACAAACAAUAAAAUUCUUCAAGAAAUAUUAGAAUGAUCACAAAUUUUACUCAAAUAUAUGUCAAUUCAACCUUAAUUUAAUUCUAGUUAAAACCCUAUUAAAUUUUACUCAACUUUAGACCAAACCUAAUUAAAUCUUAAAUCCUAAUAAUUCCUAAAUCUUAAGUCAAAUCCUAAAAAAAUCUUAAAUUAAACCCUAUUCCAAACCCUAAACCCUAAACCAACCCUAAAUCAAAUCCUAAACCAAACCCUAAUCCAACCCUAUAUCCUAAACCAAACCUUAAAUCAAAUCCUAACCAAAUCCUAAUCCAAAUCUUAAAUCAAGCCCUAACCAAAUCCUAAACCCUAAUCCAAACCCUAAUCCAAUCCUAAACUCUAAUCCAAAUCCUAAAUCCUAAACCAAACCUUAAAUCAAACACUAACCAAAUCUUAAUCCAAACUCUAAUCCAAACCCUAAAUCAAACCCUAACCAAACUCUAAACCCUAAUCCAAAUCCUAAUCCAAAUCCUAAACCGAACCCUAGCCAAAUCCUAACCAAAUCCUAAACCCUAAUCCAAACCCUAAUCCAAAUCCUAAUCCAAACCCUAAACCGAACCCUAGCCAAACCCUAAUCCAAAUCCUAGUAAUUCCUAUGACAGAUUUAAACCUCAAUAUCUAAUGAAUAAACCAUUGAUCUCAAUUAAAAAUUUUCAUACUUCUUAAAAAUCAAGUUCAAAACAAGCAAAAUUUUUUUGAAAAGGAUCGGAGUUACCAAAUUGAUGAAAACCUCAAAAAUGUGUUCAGAUGUUAGCCAGCCUCCUUCUCCAAUCUUGUUGCCAACGUUCCAGAGCCUAUUUCUCUUUUGUGCGCCGUUCGAUUGGUUUCAAAUUUCUUAUUAACAUAGAAAAACAAGUCUAAUAUCCUCUCACACAAGUUUUACUCCAAUCCAACUAGUAGAUUGCAUGAAAUCUUAAAAACCCUCACUGGACCUAAAAUUCUACUUUCUGAAACCUUGACUCACUUAAACCUCAAUAUCUCUCAGUUCAACCGUUAGAUCAAGCUCAAAUUCACAACAUGUAUUUAGCACAACUAUAACCAUGAACCCAAAAAAAUUCACCCAUAGAUCUGCAAUAAAACUCUCGAAAUCACUCAAAACAUAAACCCUAUUUUAUUUCAUAAAUCCCAAGUCAUCCGAAAAAAAACUCAACUUUGCAAAGCUCUUACAAAUUCAUAUCAACUCCAAA
rnacentral:lncRNA from 1 species